rnacentral:misc_RNA from 1 species
AGCAGCCGCGGUAAUUCCAGCUCCAAUAGCGUAUAUUAAAGUUGUUGCAGUUAAAAAGCUCGUAGUUGAAUUUCGGAAUCAGUAUGUUGGUCGUGCUUCGGUACGUACUGUCAUUACUGGUUUCUACCUUCUGAAGAACCUUGAUGUCAUUAAUUUGGUGUCUUGGGGAAUCAGGACUGUUACUUUGAAAAAAUUAGAGUGUUUAAAGCAAGCAUACGCUUGAAUACAUUAGCAUGGAAUAAUGAAAUAGGACGUUUGAUUCUAUUUUGUUGGUUUCUAGGAUCGACGUAAUGAUUAAUAGGGAUAGUUGGGGGGCAUUAGUAUUCAAUUGUCAGAGGUGAAAUUCUUGGAUUAUUGAAGACUAACUACUGCGAAAGCAUUUGCCAAGGAUGUUUUCAUUAAUCAAGAACGAAAGUUAGGGGGAUCAAGACAAUCAGAUACCGUCGUAGUCUUAACCAUAAACUAUGCCGACUAGGGAUCGGAUGAUGUUAUUUUUUAAUGACUCAUUCGGCGCCUUACG